AAGGACGCCUAAAUAAAAACAGGAAACCCGAUUUAAAAAAAGAUGAAGCCUCACUGUGGCUGAAUUACGGGAAUGUACCCUAAUAUCCUUCCCAACAAAUCAUCGGAGGCUCACAGCCCAGGCCAUCCUACCCCAGGCCCAUCUCGCUGUCCCCGGCAGAAGUCUCCAGCCCACUCCAGGGAGAUACAGCCAAGAGCCAGAAGAGAAAUGGACACAUCAGAGAGAAAAUCUGAUGGCAGGAGUUCCGUGGAAGAAGCCAUCAGGUGAGGAAUGCUUUUGCAUCAUUCAGAAGCACUCUUCAGGGCAGCCCCGGUGGCACAGUGGUUUAGCGCCGUCUGCAGCCCAGGGUGUGAUCCUGGAGACCCUAGAUCGAGUCCCACGUCAGGAUCUUUGUAUGAUGCCUGCUUCUCCCUCUGCCUCUCUCUGUGUGUGUCUAUCAUGAAUAAAUAAAAUCUUAAAAAAAAAAAAAAAAGAACUAGGGGAUCCCUGGGUGGCUUGGCGGUUUGGCACCUGCCUUUGGCCCAGGGCCUGAUCCUGGAGUCCCGGGAUCGAGCCCCACGUCGGGCUCCCGGCAUAGAGCCUGCUUCUCCCUCCUCCUGUGUCUCUGCCUCUCUCUCUCUCUCUCUCUCUCUAUGUCUAUCAUAAAAUAAAUAAAUAAAUAUUAAAAAAAAAGAACUGGUU
rnacentral:lncRNA from 12 species